rnacentral:sRNA from 1 species
AUGUGCGGCGCCGCUAUCCCCACUACCUGAGUGACUUCCGAGAUGCACUUGACCCUCAGUGCCUGGCCGCAGUCAUCUUCAUCUACUUUGCCGCCCUGUCUCCUGCCAUCACCUUUGGGGGGCUGCUGGGUGAGGAGAGCCUUCAGGUAGGGGGCGGCGGGGACUGCCCAGGGCCUGGCCACCAGCUCCUGAGCUGGUUCCUGCACCCCUAGGAGAGAAGACGCAGGACCUGAUAGGGGUGUCGGAGCUGAUUAUGUCCACAGCGCUCCAGGGCGUGGUCUUCUGCCUGCUGGGUGCCCAGCCCCUGUUGGUGAUCGGCUUCUCAGGGCCCCUGCUGGUCUUUGAGGAGGCCUUCUUCUCGUUCUGUAGCAGCAACCACCUGGAGUACCUGGUGGGCCGUGUGUGGAUCGGCUUCUGGCUGGUGUUCCUGGCCCUGCUCAUGGUGGCCCUGGAGGGGAGCUUCCUGGUCCGCUUCGUCUCCCGCUUCACCCAGGAGAUCUUCGCCUUCUUGAUCUCACUCAUCUUCAUCUAUGAGACCUUCUACAAGCUGGUGAAG